GACCAACUAGGACGGUCAUCACAUACGAAGAGGAUUUCUGAUUCGGUACGUACGGAAGCUUAUUCUUCUCACAGAGAGAGACUUAGACGCAUGCCGAGGCGUUUGGUCAACAUUUGAUAUCGUUUGUCUAGCAGCCCCAUCGGAUUUUUGAGUCGACUACCAGAUGUUCCUAUAGGGACCAUUAAGACUCCGAUUAUGUUCUUGCAUGAGUGGACAGACCCCCGUUAAAAAAUUAGGGGCCCAGCCCCCGCGCGCCAGAAUCAGCGUUUAAAGACCCUUAUCGGCGUACGAGCCUGGUGGUAUGUUCGUCUGGCCAGUCCUUGGAAGCCCCCUUACCGGGCGGACCCACCGAAAACGCCACACGUAGACUGGAUAGUUGAUCUACCGUCGUAUUUCCUGUACGAUACCAUUGUUGCCCAUGUCUCCUAUUCCCGAGCUAGGACCUCUCACCCGGACUCUCUAACGAGUGUGAAGAUUCCUUCCGUCGUCCGCGCGUUGCAAGGGUAACCCGUUACGGGCUCCCGCAAUCCCCUGUAUACUUACAGACGGUUAACCACCUGUUAAGUUUACCCAGACAAGAUUUGUCGGAGAGCUCAUUGUUAAUCUCCUGUUCAGACCACGGUCGUGGGCGCCAUUAAGGUCGAGAUUAUCGUAUGCAAUUUCAACAACGUCAAUUUUGCGAGCAUCAGCCGCGUUCUGGAAGUCUCGGGACCCAAACGCUUGACCCAGGCAACGAGGCCAUUUCCCGUGCGGUCGUUCGUAGAGCCCCCCUGCAGCCAGUUUACACGAUCACUGACAGAGAAUCCUCAGUGUCCUGAAACCUCCGAGACGGUGGCAACAAGCCAGGAUCAUGGUAAAUGGUACUGCUUUGACCUCACUAGCUUCGUACUGCGAUUCAGUGUAUGUCGUAUCGUACCAUAUCUGAGUGACCAGGCCAAACGCUUGGGCCCAACCAUCAGCGCUUUCCCCACAAGCUCCCACUGGCUUAACGGCCCGCUCACCACUUUAUGCAACUGGGACCGUUCAGCUGGUUUCCGCUUUCGUCAGUAGUUCCCGUGUGGGCAACUAGUUCUCGCUUUCAAUUCCCAAGCUUCUGCUAGUCUAUGGCAGCAUCAGAAUUGAUAUUUACUAUGUCUGGUCCCUAUCCUGUGACAGGUAGAGCUGAAGAGGACCUGGAAACUCUUUAGUAUCAGAAACCCAAGGCCCCCCUCAUACCAGCGUUCCGACUUUGAAUUUCCUUAA
rnacentral:rRNA from 1 species